UACGUAGGCAGCAAGCGUUGUUCGGAGUUACUGGGCGUAAAGGGUGUGUAGGCGGUCGGAUAAGUGUGGUGUGAAAUCUCCCGGCUCAACUGGGAGGGUGCGCUACAAACUGUCUGGCUAGAGUGCAGGAUGGGAAAGUGGAAUUCCUGGUGUAGCGGUGAAAUGCGUAGAUAUCAGGAGGAACACCGGUGGUGUAGACGGCUUUCUGGACCGUAACUGACGCUGAAACACGAAAGCGUGGGUAGCAAACAGG
rnacentral:rRNA from 1 species